rnacentral:rRNA from 1 species
UACGAAGGGGGCUAGCGUUGCUCGGAAUCACUGGGCGUAAAGCGCACGUAGGCGGAUUCUUAAGUCAGGGGUGAAAUCCUGGAGCUCAACUCCAGAACUGCCUUUGAUACUGAGGGUCUUGAGUUCGGGAGAGGUGAGUGGAACUGCGAGUGUAGAGGUGAAAUUCGUAGAUAUUCGCAAGAACACCAGUGGCGAAGGCGGACUCACUGGCC